UCCCUAUUUAUCUAUACUAUACUAUUGUUUAAUUUGCAGUCUGUGUCACGUCCGUCCUCCUCUUCGUCCGUCACUUCAUGCAGAUUACCGCGUAUGCCACCGCCUGCCAACGACGCAGUGCCCCCUCCUCGACUCUCUCCCUCCCAACCAAAAAAUGAAAGAAAAAAACCAGCCCGAUACAAUCCCCUACCGUCUCCCUUCCUCCGCCCGCCGCCUCCUCCCCUGUGUGCGCUGCCGCCCCUCUUCACUCUGCUCACCCCCUCCUCCUCAUCGAUCUGUCGUAGCCGCCGGCCUCCGUCCCUGCCCCCUGUCGGUCACCGCAAAUGAAGGAGCGCAACACGUCCCUGCCCCGCGACUUGAACACGAGUUGGGGCGAGUCUCCUCCCCGCCUCCUCCCUACGAAUGACCCAACGCCUUACCCCGCCGCAGACGCAUCCACCACCGCCCCUCUCUCUGCCUGCACCCUGAUCCAGUCUCCCGAUCCGGCGCGCCUCCCCGCAGCCCUCCAGAUCGGCGCCGCCGCCCCAUCUCCUCCUCGCUAUUCUUCUGCCGCCGCUGAAGCCUUUCGCCUGCCCCGCCAGAGCCGCUCCUCCUCCGCCGCCGAAGGUCUUCCUCCAUCUCCACCACUCUUCCCAGGAAGCGAAGAUGCUCACCCCCUAUCUCCCUCUCAACUCUCUCUUUGCAUAGGAGAAACUGGCGGAAGGCAGGUUCCGUGUAGUGCCUGUGGACCGCCGAGGGAUGUGGCGGUGCCCCGACGGUCGAUGGAUGUGACGGAUGGCAGGAAGAGGACCUUCAGCUGAUCUCGAUCUAAGGGGACAGUUACCAAGAAUGUUCUGUAUACAGAUGUAUUCACAUCAUAGAUCUAAUAUGCCAUGUGAAAAAAGUUAUUGUUUUUUUUCCUUCUGAUAUGAGAUAAGGAUCGCUAGAAGUAAAUUUGUUUUUUUUUGUUUAUGUACCACAUCUUGUGUAGGAACCAAGUUCAUAUUCUUGAGAUCUCAUAUUAGUUACCAUUGUUUUUCAAUA